rnacentral:rRNA from 1 species
GGGCCCGCACAAGCGGUGGAGUAUGUGGUUUAAUUCGAUGCAACGCGAAGAACCUUACCAGGGUUUGACAUCCUGCGAAUCUCUUGGAAACAGGAGAGUGCCUUCGGGAACGCAGUGACAGGUGCUGCAUGGUUGUCGUCAGCUCGUGCCGUGAGGUGUCAGGUUAAGUCCUAUAACGAGCGCAACCCCUAUCGUUAGUUGCCAGCAUUUAGUUGGGCACUCUAGAGAGACUGCCGGUGAUAAACCGGAGGAAGGUGUGGAUGACGUCAAGUCAUCAUGCCCCUUACAUCCUGGGCUACACACGUACUACAAUGCUACGGACAAAGGGCAGCAAGUUCGCGAGGACAAGCAAAUCCCAUAAACCGUGGCUCAGUUCAGAUCGUAGGCUGCAACUCGCCUACGUGAAGGCGGAAUCGCUAGUAAUCGC